rnacentral:rRNA from 1 species
UACGUAGGGGGCAAGCGUUGUCCGGAAUCAUUGGGCGUAAAGCGCGUGUAGGCGGCUGAGUAAGUCUGCUCUGAAAGCCCGGGGCUCAACUCCGGAUCUGCGGUGGGUACGGGCAGACUAGAGUGUGGUAGGGGAGACUGGAAUUCCUGGUGUAGCGGUGGAAUGCGCAGAUAUCAGGAGGAACACCGAUGGCGAAGGCAGAUCUCUGGGCCGUAACUGACGCUGAGGAGCGAAAGCAUGGGGAGCGAACAGG